CAAUAGCGUAUAUUAACGUUGUUGCAGUUAAAAAGCUCGUAGUUGGAUUUCUGGAGGGAGCGUCGGCCCGUAUUUACGAGUGCGUGACGUCUCUGUCCAUCCUUGCGGGAAGGCACGGCAUUGAUUUGUUGUGUCGGAUCGCAUCAUUUACUGUGAAAAAAUUAGAGUGUUCAAAGCAGGCUUUCGCUUGAAUACAUUAGCAUGGAAGAAUAAGAUAGGACUUUGGUGCUAUUUUGUUGGUUGAGCCUAAAGUAAUGAUUAAUAGGGAUAGUUGGGGGCACCUGUAUUGCGUUGUCAGAGGUGAAAUUCUUGGAUUUACGCAAGACAAACAGCUGCGAAAGCGUCUGCCAAGGAUGUUUUCAUUAA
rnacentral:rRNA from 1 species